rnacentral:rRNA from 1 species
AAUCUUCCACAAUGGACGAAAGUCUGAUGGAGCAACGCCGCGUGAGUGAAGAAGGUUCNCGGAUCNUNAAGCUCUGUUGUAAGGGNAGAACAAGUACAGGAGUAACUGUCUGUACCUUGACGGUACCUUACCAGAAAGCCACGGCUAACUACGUGCCAGCAGCCGCGGUAAUACGUAGGUGGCAAGCGUUGUCCGGAAUUAUUGGGCGUAAAGCGCGCGCAGGCGGUUCUUUAAGACUGAUGUGAAAGCCCACGGCUCAACCGUGGAGGGUCAUUUGAAAAUGGAGGACUUGAGUACAGAAGAGGAAAGCGGAAUUCCACGUGUAGCGGUGAAAUGCGUAGAGAUGUGGAGGAACACCAGUGGCGAAGGCGGCUUUCUGGUCUGUAACUGACGCUGAGGCGCGAAAGCUAGGGGAGCAAACA